GUACUAUUUGACUGUAGUUGGUUUGGACAGUUUAGGAUGAGGCUAAUAGUUGCACAAUUGAUUGGCUUGCACAUCCUAGCUGAGUUGAAGAACUGCUUUGGACAGUUUAGGGAUGAGGGUAAUAGUUGCACAAUUGAUUGGCUUGCACAUUCUAGCUGAGUUGAAGAACUGCUUAAUGGCAGUGGUGACUUGGUUACCAAUGAUGCUCCAGCUCUUUUUGAAGAAAACAGCAUUGUAUCUAUCUAUCCCUGGUGCUUUGUCAUCUCCAAUAGCCUUGAGACUCU
rnacentral:lncRNA from 1 species